rnacentral:lncRNA from 1 species
AUGGGAAUCUCUUGUUCGUCUCCUUGGUCUUUCAGCCAUGGGCAUGAAGCUGUCUGCAUGGCACAAAGGUUUGCUGCCCUCCAGAAACGCCUCCUCAGCUCUUUGGGACAAGAGCCGUUGUGGCUGUGUUUUGCACUCAGUAGGUGCAGUGCUGCCAUGCAGAUGGUAACGAAACAAGGAGCAUGGGUCUGUGCUCUCGGAGGCUGCGAGCCCAGGUGGGUUGACAGUGCAGUGCCAUGGUUAUGGUCUUUAUAACCUUGUGCAUAGGCUGGCAUUAAAAAGUCAAGCUAGAAGUGAAAAAGCUGAUGACACGAGAUGGGUCAGAAAGGAAAGGUAACAGGAGCAGAUGUUCAGCUUGGUGUAAGAGAUGCAAAGGCAACUUGGUAGGACCAUGUCCAGGAAACCUUCUGCUAGGAUCUUGAUGCUUCCCUGUGAAUUGCGGGAAGCAGAACACCCUAUGGAAAAAGAAGACGGAUUUUGAAGGCAGUGAAUGCAUUUGUACCAGGCAAUGCCAGUAGCUCCAGUUGAUUGCCUGGUUGGGCACUGCCCUGCUCAGCCCUAAGCUCAUUCCCAUGACUGGGAAUCCAGCACCUCUGUCCCCUCCCAAGGAAUUGCCCGGUCCCGAGGGAUCACCAUGUCGCAACGUAAAUCCCCUCCGUGGCUGGAGCUUGGGCACGUGCAGCAGGUCCUUCAGCAUACCCCAGGGUCCUCAGGAACCUGGGGGAGUGCCACAGUUGGCUUUGUAGUGCAUCUGCAAGGAGUUUCAUGGGUAGGGUGAAUGAAAGGGUGGAAAACAUUCAGAAAUGAGGCUUUUUUUCUUUUUUUUCUGAAGCUUUUUCUUUUAAUGGAAGAAGUCAGGGAUGGAACAAAAGCUCUUUUUUCUGUUUUCCAUUGAAAUUUAAUGGUCUCUUUAGAGAGAGAGAGAGGGCUGUAUGUCAAGAAAAAGGGAAGAGGCAUCUGUGAGAUGAAGUGAACAUGUGGAGGCAGGGACACAUGCACAUUUGUCCCCAAUCCCCCUCCUUGCUUGAGGAGUACCCUGCAUGUUCAGGGGAGAGCCCUUGGUGUAGCCCACAGCCU